rnacentral:rRNA from 1 species
GACGAACGCUGGCGGCGUGCUUAACACAUGCAAGUCGAACGGAAAGGCCCUGCUUUUGUGGGGUGCUCGAGUGGCGAACGGGUGAGUAACACGUGAGUAACCUGCCCUUGACUUUGGGAUAACUUCAGGAAACUGGGGCUAAUACCGGAUAGGAGCUCCUGCUGCAUGGUGGGGGUUGGAAAGUUUCGGCGGUUGGGGAUGGACUCGCGGCUUAUCAGCUUGAUGGUGGGGUAGUGGCUUACCAAGGCUUUGACGGGUAGCCGGCCUGAGAGGGGAACCGGCCCCGAUAGGACUGAGGGAGGGCGCAGUAGCGUAUGGGACGCAGCGGGGGAGAGUAUUACACAGUAGGGCGGAGCCAGAGAUGACAACGCUGCGUGCGGGAAGACGUGCUUCGGGUUGUGAACCACUGUCGCCUGAGACGAGGCGUUAGUGACGGUAAUGGGUAAAGAAGCACCGGCUAACUACGUG